UUGACGUGGGCCAAGCUCCUGGAAUAUUAUCUCCGGCACCGGCAACUCUGCCACCCAUAUCGCCAGGAUUCUUCUCUCCGGCUCCGAUGGAUCCGUUUAUGUUGGGGUACAACAUGUUCAUACCAAGCCCAUCAACCUUGUUUUCAGCUCCAAUGGUGUCUCCUUCACCCUCUUCUUCUUUCGAUCUCUUCAAUCCAUUUGACUUUUAGCCAAUAGAAAGUCAUUUUUCCAAUUUUUUAUUUUUAUUUUUAUUUUUAUUUUUUUUAAUUUCUAAUUAUUUGAUGCGUGCUUUUCUAGAGAAAUUUUCUAGAGAGAGAAGAUAUGCUUUGUGGAAAAUUGAAACUAGAGGUGGAGGUGGGGUAGACCAAUUUUUUAUUUAUUUUGUAUUUUUUUGGUUUUAUAACGGAUUAAUUUGUUAGGAUACAUGUAUUUUGACCUAACUAUCUAAUGUUAAGCAUUUGAUUUUUCUUUCAAGAGAAGUCGUCCGUCAACUUUGGUAUACUAAUCGUUUUCAUAUUAAAUGGUUAUUUUAAUGAGAAAAUUAUGUAAUGGACCACAAUUAGCUGUCUAAUUUUGCAAGUAUACUAUAGAGUGGUUACUAAAAUAUCGUUUUUUAGAUGACUUUUAACUUAAAGUCGGUCUAUAUGUACAGGAGAAAAAUUUACAGAAGUGUUACAUAUUACACAUAACAAUAGGUGCGUAGUUUAUCUUAUGCAAUAAAAUAUUUACAUGGGCUCACC
rnacentral:lncRNA from 1 species